GAACGUGAAAAACGACGUCGUGUUGUUCACUUCUGCACUGUUUCUCCCCAUCUCUAAUCGCGUGUUUCUUCUCCAUUUCUACCCACUCCACCGUACCAUUCAUCUUGAUUUCUCUUCAACAGCUCAUAGUUUCCCAUCUACUGUCGUCAUCUCGCGUCUCUGCUUCCUUCAAUUGCAUCAUCGCCGACGCUCGGCGUUCCGUGUUCAAGGAGAUUUCGCUCGCCAGAAAUGGAGGAACCAACCAGAUUUCGACAAGCUCCCUUCAUCACUGUUGUUUAAUCAUCCUCCUUUCUUAAUUCCAGGUCUGAAUGCAUUCCCAAGGAGCAAAUCACGGAUGCACAGUCCUUUGAAAUGGUUCAGUGUUGUUCAGGGAGGAAGAGAUUCAGAUAUAUAAAAUUGUGGAAGGGGUCCAACUUAAGGUUUUGGGGUUUUAAAAUUGGGGAAAACUCCUUCAAAGUCCAUGCCCAAAGUACCUUUUGGCAUGAACGUUUUCAGAAUGAUUGCUUGCUCAAGUUGCUAUACCAUGUGAUGUUGCAUAUUUAGAUCAUGUUGUCUUCAUAGCAAGGUGUUUUCUUUCAUCAAGGGAAGGUUGAAGAAAGAUCUAGGUGAAAUCCAUAUUCAGUCCCAGUAAUAGAGAAGAAUGGUUGAAUUUUCCUCCCCAACCUUCUCAUGCAGAUAUCCUCGCACUUCAUGGAAUUUUGCUGCAAUUUUCUCUGUUUAGAUCAUCUAUUUCCUUUAAUUCUGCAUCCUUGCACAAUUUGUAACUAUGCUUUGUUGUUAAUAUAUGAAUACUUUAUUUGGACUUUGCUAAACCAAGGAAUUUUGCUUGAUUAUGCUUAUCGUGAUUCCAGUCUUUCAGGUUUUAGAUGAAAUUUUUGUUAAUUUAUAUUUAGUAGCCCUUGCUUAAGUAGUUAUAUAUGUUAUAGAAAUUUGAGCAGUAACAAUAUUUACGGAUGAUUAUCUUUUUGUUCAAAGCUUAAUUGAGUGUAGUAUAUGUCAGAUUUGUAAAAUGUGUUAUGUGUGUACUUUUACUUUGUGACAGUUUAUGCGGUGACUUAGAUGAAUAUGAUAAUUGUUGUAGGGUUAUGGAGCGCAAUCCGCUGAAGAGAAGCAGAGGCUUUUGAAGUUGAUGAGAAACCUCAAUUUCAAUGGGGAAUCUGGUUCAGAGACAUAUACGCCCACCACCCGAACUUUAGGUGGAGUGGCUGCAUCAGAUGGGCUUUACUCUCCGGAGUUCAGAGGGGAUUUUGGAGCUGGGCUUUUGGAUCUUCAUGCUAUGGAUGUUAUAGAGCUUUAGUCUGAGGACUUGGGAGCAAAGCUCCAACUGUGGAAGUAAGGUAAAAGAAUUUGACUAUCGAGUCUGAUUCCUAUGUUGGUAGCAGAGCUUUGCCAACCCUACCAAAUUCUGCAUUGAACAUUGUAGAAAUACUUCUUGGUGCCUAUGGGAUUAGUACUGCUAAGAGAGCAAAGCUCAUAAUUCUUAAGAAUGUCUCUAGCAUUGUUAAACCCGGAAGGUACUACAAACAAGUUCUUAUCCAUAGAGUGGUCAGAAUUGAACAAUCUUUAGAAUGGUUUUUUAUAGGUUAUUUGACUUUUCUAUACAGCUCUUCAUUUUAUAACCCUUAUAGGUUGUUCUGUGUUGUCUUGAAAAUUUAGUUAAGGGUUUAGGCAAGAAUUAGUUAAUGCUUUGAGACUCAAUCAGUUUACAUAUAAAAACUUAGAUGGAUAUUGCUUCUUUAGAGGGUGUUCAAAUUCUAUAAUCCAAUGCCUUUAAAGACAAUUUUAUUGAAAAAGAAAUCAAUGAACCAAUGACCCUUCUAACACUUGGUGGAGGCAAUUAGUGAGAUUUAUAGGAAGUUUACAACUAAAUGCAUUGUUUCGAAGUAAUUUGUUGCUUUCUAUCUUUGUCAUGCUUUUUUUUUCAUUGUCUGUAUGAGUUUGUUUUGAUAAAGUUUUGUACACAAAUUUAUGCUUGGCUUUGUACCACUACAGCAGAGCCUCAUAUCUACCAUUUGCUCAAUAAGCCCUUGAAUGAGGAAUCUUUGUCAAUUGAGAAGUGGAAAGAAUCAAAGAAGUUGAGAUGAAAGGGCUAGACCACUGGAUGGAUGUUGAAGCCUUGAACAAUAAACAAAAACAAGAAAUUGAUUUUAGGUAACCUGGUUAUGGGUUCCUUUCUAUUUUGCUCAACUCUGUGAAGACAAGGGUCUCACCUUCAUAGGGCCUCCAGUAUCUACCAUCAGAGAUAUGGGUGACAAGAGGAACCUACCAGUACCAGCAUCAUUAUCUUUGUGUUGUGCCUUUAAGCAGCUUAGUGUGGGAUGCCCUGAAGGUUCUUGAUGCUGCUGAUAUUGAUAAACCAGAGGCUUCAUUGGGCUUGGAGCAUUUGGUGUCGGGUUUUUAAUUGGUUGGGGGUCUGUUUUGUAUGUCCUGGUAGUCCAGUUGAUCAUCUUAUGUCCUUUGCUGGUUUGUUUAUGUCGGUCAACAAGGAUGGUAUUUUAUCAGUAUGGCUGGUAGUAGUUUGGCACAUUUUGGUGGGAAGGAAUGAAGCAGUUCUCAGAGAAGGGGUUUUUCUGCUGAGUGCAUUUUUGACUUGGUCAAGUUAAAAGUGUGGGAAUGGUUGAGAGCCAGAAGCUGCCACUUCACACGUGCUACCUAUGAAUUGAUUGAACAAAUCCUCUGCCUACUCGAUUAUUAGAUGGAAGGAAUUCUUAAGUUUGUUGGUUCUGUUAAUUUUUACUGAUACACUUGCAAUACUUUGGCUCUCAGUCAAAUUAUUGAAUCUCUUUUUGUAAAGGUUUGGGGUAGCCUUUUACCCCCUUGAAUGUAUCAUUGCAAAUUAAAAAAAAAACAUAUCUUUGUUGCUCAAGCUGGAUAAUGGUUUGGUUCCCAGCUUUUAGUGCCUCAUUGUACGAAGCUAUGAAUAUUUGCCUUUGACUUGCUAGGUGUGGAUAUUAUGAGAAAACCAAAAAGACAAACAAGAUGGAAUUUGAGGAUUGUAUCCCUUUUGUGUGCUGCUUAAUUGGAUGUUAUGAUUCACGAGA